rnacentral:rRNA from 1 species
GAUGAACGCUGGCGGCGUGCCUAAUACAUGCAAGUCGAGCGAACAGAUAAGGAGCUUGCUCCUUUGACGUUAGCGGCGGACGGGUGAGUAACACGUGGGUAACCUACCUAUAAGACUGGAAUAACUCCGGGAAACCGGGGCUAAUGCCGGAUAACAUGUUGAACCGCAUGGUUCUACAGUGAAAGGCGGCUUUGCUGUCACUUAUAGAUGGACCCGCGCCGUAUUAGCUAGUUGGUGAGGUAACGGCUCACCAGGGCAACGAUACGUAGCCGACCUGAGAGGGUGAUCGGCCACACUGGAACUGAGACACGGUCCAGACUCCUACGGGAGGCAGCAGUAGGGAAUCUUCCGCAAUGGGCGAAAGCCUGACGGAGCAACGCCGCGUGAGUGAUGAAGGUCUUCGGAUCGUAAAACUCUGUUAUUAGGGAAGAACAAAUGCGUAAGUAACUGUGCGCGUCUUGACGGUACCUAAUCAGAAAGCCAAGGCUAACUACGUG